UGGAUUUGUCAAGGCUACAAUACAAAUGAAUGGAGUUGGGCUGUUUGGAGGACUGGAGGACUGGAGUUGGGCUGUUGGGGGGACUGGAGGACUGGAGUUGGGCUGUUGGGAGGACUGGAGGACUGGAGUUGGGCUGACUGGAGGACUGGAGUUGGGCUGUUUGGAGGACUGGAGGACUGGAGGAAUGGAGUUGGGCUGUUAGGAGGACUGGAGGACUGGAGGACUGGAGUUGGACUGUUUGGAGGACUGGAGUUGGGCUGUUGGGAGGACUGGAGGACUGGAGUUGGGCUGUUUGGAGGACUGGAGGACUGGAGUUGGACUGUUGGGAGGACUGGAGUUGGGCUGUUGGAGGUACUGGAGGACUGGAGUUGGGGUGUUGGGGACUGGAGGACUGGAGUUGGGCUGUUGGGAGGACUGGAGUUGGGCUGUUUGGAGGACUGGAGGACUGGAGGAAUGGAGUUGGG
ensembl:lncRNA